UGAAGACCAAUGGCAUGACUUUGUUACCACGAGGUUCACUGAUAAGUGGAGGAGAGUACGAGAUCGAAACAUCAAAAGCCGAAGCAACCAUACCAUGCCUCAUUCAUGUGGGAGAAAGAGUUUUGCUAGAAAAAGACGUGAAAUUAAAAAUGUGACU